CAGCAGCCGCGGUAAUACGUAGGUGGCAAGCGUUGUCCGGAAUUAUUGGGCGUAAAGCGCGCGCAGGCGGUYYUUUAAGUCUGAUGUGAAAGCCCACGGCUCAACCGUGGAGGGUCAUUGGAAACUGGGGAACUUGAGUGCAGAAGAGAAGAGUGGAAUUCCACGUGUAGCGGUGAAAUGCGUAGAGAUGUGGAGGAACACCAGUGGCGAAGGCGACUCUUUGGUCUGUAACUGACGCUGAGGCGCGAAAGCGUGGGGAGCAAACAGGAUUAGAUACCCUGGUAGUCCACGCCGUAAACGAUGAGUGCUAAGUGUUAGAGGGUUUCCGCCCUUUAGUGCUGCAGCAAACGCAUUAAGCACUCCGCCUGGGGAGUACGGCCGCAAGGCUGAAACUCAAAGGAAUUGAC
rnacentral:rRNA from 1 species